UCAGGUAUAGCUCAAUGGUAGAGUGCAUGCCUAGCAUGCACCAGAUCCUGGGUCCAAUCCCAAGUACCUCUA
rnacentral:tRNA from 1 species